GCGGGUGUGGUGAAAUUGGUAGACACGCCAGAUUUAGGUUCUGGUGACGCAAGUCGUGGGGGUUCAAGUCCCUCCACCCGCACCA
rnacentral:tRNA from 1 species